rnacentral:rRNA from 1 species
AACGAACGUUGGCGGCGUGCUUAACACAUGCAAGUCGAACGAGAACGUCCCGGCUUGCCGGGAUUAGUAAAGUGGCGCACGGGUGAGUAACACGUGAGUAAUUUCCCUCUAAGCUUGGGAUAACAUUGCGAAAGCGGUGCUAAUACCGAAUAAGACCACGGUAUCACAUGAUACAGUGGGAAAAGGUGGCCUCUGUAUAUGCUAUCACUUGGAGAUAAGCUCGCGGACCAUUAGCUUGUUGGUAGGGUAACGGCCUACCAAGGCAAAGAUGGUUAGCUGGUCUGAGAGGAUGAUCAGCCACACUGGAACUGAGACACGGUCCAG